rnacentral:rRNA from 1 species
AUAUUGGACAUUGGGGGGAACCCUGAUCCAGCCAUGCCGCGUGUGUGAAGAAGGUCUUCGGACUGUAAAGCACUUUAAGCUGGGAGGAAGAGUUGUAGGCUAAUACCUUGCAAUUUUGACGUUACCAACAGAAUAAGCACCGGCUAACUUCGUGCCCGCAGCCGCGGUAAUACGAAGGGUGCAAGCGUUAAUCGGAAUUACUGGGCGUAAAGCGCGAGUAGGUGGUUCGUUAAGUUGGAAGUGAAAGCCCCGAGCUUAACCUGGGAAUUGCUUUCAAAACUGACGAGCUAGAGUACGGUAGAGGGUAGUGGAAUUUCCUGUGUAGCGGUGAAAUGCGUAGUUAUAAGAGGGAACAUCAGUGGCGAAGGCGACUACCUGGACUGAUACUGACAAUGGGGUGCGAAAGCGUGAGGAGCAAACAGG